rnacentral:rRNA from 1 species
AUUGAACGCUGGCGGCAGGCCUAACACAUGCAAGUCGAGCGGAUGAAGGGAGCUUGCUCCUGGAUUCAGCGGCGGACGGGUGAGUAAUGCCUAGGAAUCUGCCUGGUAGUGGGGGAUAACGUCCGGAAACGGGCGCUAAUACCGCAUACGUCCUGAGGGAGAAAGUGGGGGAUCUUCGGACCUCACGCUAUCAGAUGAGCCUAAGUCGGAUUAGCUAGUUGGUGGGGUAAAGGCCUACCGAGGCGACGAUCCGUAACUGGUCUGAGAGGAUGAUCAGUCACACUGGAACUGAGACACGGUCCAGACUCCUACGGGAGGCAGCAGUGGGGAAUAUUGGACAAUGGGCGAAAGCCUGAUCCAGCCAUGCCGCGUGUGUGAAGAAGGUCUUCGGAUUGUAAAGCACUUUAAGUUGGGAGGAAGGGCAGUAAGUUAAUACCUUGCUGUUUUGACGUUACCAACAGAAUAAGCACCGGCUAACUUCGUG